ACUCCUACGGGAGGCAGCAGUGGGGAAUUUUGCGCAACGGGCGAAAGCCUGACGCAGUAACGCCGCGUGGAGGAUGAAGGCCUUCGGGUUGUAAACUCCUGUCAGGGGGAACGACGGGGCAAUGGUGAUAAAUCUUUGCCUCCAGACGGUACCUCCAAAGGAAGCCCCGGCUAAUUCCGUGCCAGCAGCCGCGGUAAUACGGAAGGGGCAAGCGUUGUUCGGAAUCAUUGGGCGUAAAGGGCGCGUAGGUGGUCUUGUGUGUCUACCGUGAAAGCGUACGGCUCAACCGUAUUUAGUCGGUAGAAACUGCAGGACUUGAGGCUGGGAGGGGCUGGUGGAAUUCCCUGUGUAGCGGUGAAAUGCGUAGAGAUGGGGGAGAACACUCGUGGCGAAGGCGGCCAGCUAGACCAGUUCUGACACUGAGGCGCGACAGCGUGGGGAGCAAACAGGAUUAGAUACCCUGGUAGUCCACGCUGUAAACGAUGGGCACUAGGUGCCGGCGGUCUUGAUCCCGUCGGUGCCGGCGCUAACGCAGUAAGUGCCCGCCUGGGGAGUGCGGUCGCAAGGCUGAAACUCAAAGGAAUUGACGGGGGCCCGCACAAGCGGUGGAGCAUGUGGUUUAAUUCGACGCAACGCGAAGAACCUUACCUGGGUUUGACAUGUGCAGGACAGGUGAUGAAAGUCACCCUCCCUUCGGGGCCUGUGCACAGGUGCUGCAUGGCUGUCGUCAGCUCGUG
rnacentral:rRNA from 1 species